rnacentral:rRNA from 1 species
UGAGUACGAGAUGCUACGGCGUCGAAGCAGUCUAGGUCAUACUUCCAAGAAAAGCUUGCACUGUCAUAAACAAAGAAUGCCUGUACCAUAACCGACACAGGUGGGUAGGUAGAGUAUACUAAGGGGCGCGAGAUAACUCUCUCUAAGGAACUCGGCAAAAUGACUCCGUAACUUCGGGAGAAGGAGUGCCUUAUUUUUAAGGUUGCAAUAACAAGAUCCAAGCAACUGUUUACCAAAAACACAGGUCUCCGCUAAGUCGUAAGACGAUGUAUGGGGGCUGACGCCUGCCCAGUGCCAGAAGGUUAAAGAAGUUGGUUAGCAUUUGCGAAGCUGAUAACUGAAGCCCUGGUGAACGGCGGCCGUAACUAUAACGGUCCUAAGGUAGCGAAAUUCCUUGUCGGGUAAGUUCCGACCCGCACGAAAGGCGUAAUGAUUUGGAUACUGUCUCGGAGAGGGGCUCGGUGAAAUAGACUUGUCUGUGAAGAUGCGGACUACCUGCACCUGGACAGAAAGACCCUAUGAAGCUUUGCUGUAACUUGAGAUUGAAAUUGGACUUUAUUUGCGCAGUAUAGGUGGGAGGCGUUGAGAAUAAUCUUGCGGGAUUAUCGGAGCCAUCAGUGAGAUACCACUCUUGUAAUGUUAGAUUUCUAACUUUGUAUCAUUAUCUGGUCAAAGAACAGUUUCAGGCGGGCAGUUUGACUGGGGCGGUCGCCUCCCAAAGGGUAACGGAGGCGCACAAAGGUUUCCUCUGAACGGGUAGAAAUCGUAUCUAGAGUGUAAAGGCAUAAGGAAGCUUGACUGUGAGACCUACAAGUCGAGCAGGGACGAAAGUCGGUCUUAGUGAUCUGACGGUGCUGAGUGGAAAGGCCGUCACUCAACGGAUAAAAGUUACUCUAAGGAUAACAGGCUGAUCUCCCCCAAGAGUUCACAUCGACGGGGAGGUUUGGCACCUCGAUGUCGGCUCAUCGCAUCCUGGGGCGGUAGUACGUCCCAAGGGUUGGGCUGUUCGCCCAUAAAAGCGGUACGCGAGCUGGGUUCAGAACGUCGUGAGACAGUUCGGUCCAUAUCCGGUGUAGGCGUUAGAAUAUUGAAAGGAGCCUUCUCUAGUACGAGAGGACCGAGAAGGACAUACCUCUGGUGUGCCAGUUAUCGUGCCAACGGUAAACGCUGGGUAGCUAUGUAUGGAGUGGAUGACCGCUGAAAGCAUCUAAGUGGGAAGCCCACCUUAAGAUAAG